GAUGUUGUGUAGUCUGAAAGAUAGACUCUGUGGCCUCUGGGAAUGAACUGCUCAUAUUUGAAUGUCCUGUGUGCUUUUGGUAUGAUCAUUAUGCUGGACUCACAUGAGAGAUGGAAAAGGUAUAUGCCAGCACCAGGAAGACAAGAGCUAUAAACAACUCAUUUUAGAUUCAGCCAGAGUGUUUUCUCUGUCAGGAUAAAACGCAGCAUGACUACCCUGCACAGUCCUAUGGAUCCUGAAUGUAUCAAUUAGGAAUACAGCAGAUACACUGUAUAAAGACAAGGAAGGCAUCACUGAUAACCUUGCUGGAUAACCCUGUAAUCUAUACUCUACUGAUCCCAAUGUCUGAUUUAUUGAAAUGAAGGAUGCAAGUGGUUCUUGGACAGGCCUAUUCCUUGGACAUGAUUGGUGAUCACAGAAGAAAAGACUAUCUCUUAUGUUUAAUUUCAUUUGGGUACCUCCAGAGUAGAACAAGAGUUCUUCCACCUCCACACUUCUUUCCUUUCGUUCCUCCAAAAGCAUAAGGAAUCCUUAAUAACAAAUAUCUGAAAUGGGAAUAGAGUUUGAAAAUUAAAGUUCAAGUGUUAUAACAACUACUUUUUUCUCUUUGACACACACACACACACACACACACACACACACACACGUUUUAGGAUGUUAGGAAGGACUGAAUUAUUGUGUCUGCCCUAUUCAAUUAUGAGACUUGGCUGCACUCAUACAGUGACUUAGCAAUUGUUCUGCAAAUGCGGUAAUAAUGCCUGCACAGGUUGCCUUCAGAUUUAAAUAGGCUUGUGUUUGCAACCCAGGUGUGGUGAUUUUAGGCAGCCUACCUGGCCCCUUUUAUCACUGUCUCCUGAUAUGUAAAAUAGGAAUAAUAAUACCUAUAUCACAAGAUUAUUAUAAAUAUUAAACAGGUUGCCUUAUGAAAUAACAGUGCCUUAGCACAACCUAAUAUUUAGUAAGCAUGCAAUAGGCAGGGCGCGGUGGCUCACGCCUGUAAUCCCAGCACUUUGGGAGGCCGAGGCGGGCAGAUCACCUGAGGUCAGGAGUUCAAGACCAGCCUCAACAUGGAGAAACCCCAUCUCUACUAAAACUACAAAAAAAU
rnacentral:lncRNA from 10 species